CCGUUUCAGGUGAAUGACCACUUGUUGGAAAGAGAAUUUGAUUCACUAUGAAGUGGAGUAAAAGUUAUUUACAUAUUAUAUUCUGGACAUAGAGGAAUUCAAUAAAGAAGAGGCAGCAGCAAAGAACAAUGAAGAAGAAUGAAAACAUGGAGGCCAAGAUCGAUCUGUUGAUGAGAAGAAUGGAGAAGCUGGAGAUGAGAAGCCAGUUG
rnacentral:lncRNA from 1 species